UACGUAGGGGGCAAGCGUUGUCCGGAAUCACUGGGCGUAAAGGGCGCGUAGGUGGCGGCCCAAGUCCGUGGUGAAAGCUCGCCGCUUAACGGCGAGUCGGCCACGGAGACUGGGUGGCUCGAGCACUGUAGGGGCAGAUGGAAUUCCGGGUGUAGCGGUGGAAUGCGUAGAGAUCCGGAAGAACACCAGUGGCGAAGGCGGUCUGCUGGGCAGUUGCUGACACUGAUGCGCGGCAGCGUGGGGAGCAAACGGG
rnacentral:rRNA from 1 species